rnacentral:rRNA from 1 species
AUGCCGCCGCGGCGGCCCAACACCGGCGCCGGGGGCGGGGGCACCUCCUCGGCCGCGCCGCCGCGCAAGGUCCCGCUCCGCUCGCUGCUCCGGGCGGCGUCCGUCGCCUGCGGGGUCCAAUUCGGGUGGGCGCUGCAGCUCUCCCUGCUCACCCCGUACGUCCAAGAACUCGGCAUCCCGCACGCCUUCGCCAGCCUGGUCUGGCUCUGCGGCCCGCUGUCGGGCCUCCUCGUGCAGCCCCUGGUGGGCCACCUCUCGGACCGCAUCGCGCCGGCCAACUCCCCGCUGGGCCGCCGCCGGCCCUUCAUCGCCGCGGGGGCCGCCUCCAUCGCCUUCUCCGUGCUCACCGUCGGCUUCUCCGCCGACCUCGGCCGCCUCUUCGGGGACAACAUCGUGCCCGGGUCCACCCGGUUCGGCGCCAUCAUCGUCUACCUCAUCGGCUUCUGGCUGCUGGAUGUCGGCAACAACGCCACCCAGGGGCCAUGCCGCGCCUUCCUCGCAGACCUCACAGAGAAUGACCCGAGGAGGACCCGGAUUGCCAACGCCUACUUCUCGCUCUUCAUGGCCCUGGGGAACAUACUCGGGUACGCCACCGGGGCAUACAACGGCUGGUACAAGAUAUUCCCCUUCACUAUUACGGAGUCCUGCUCUGUCAGCUGCGCCAACCUCAAGUCCGCGUUCCUGCUCGACAUCAUCAUCCUGGCGAUUACGACGUACGUUAGCGUCGUGACGGUGCAGGACAAUCCUACUUUCGGAAGCGACGAGGCGGCACCUCCGAGCAGCCACGAGGAGGAGGCUUUCCUCUUUGAGCUUUUCGGGUCGUUCAAGUACUUCACGAUGCCUGUUUGGAUGGUCUUGAUCGUCACCUCGCUUACCUGGAUCGGCUGGUUCCCUUUCAUCCUCUUUGACACCGACUGGAUGGGCCGAGAGAUCUACCGGGGAAGCCCGGAGAUCGUCGCCGACACCCAAAAGUAUCAUGACGGUGUGAGAAUGGGCUCUUUUGGUCUCAUGCUCAACUCGGUUGUUCUCGGGAUCACAUCUAUUGGAAUGGAGAAGUUGUGUAGGAAGUGGGGAGCUGGACUUGUAUGGGGUGUCUCCAAUAUCAUCAUGGCACUGUGCUUCGUGGCGAUGCUUAUUAUAACAUACGUUGCGCAGAACCUGGAUUAUGGACCUAGUGGAGCACCUCCAACCGGCAUUGUCGCCGCUUCCCUCAUUGUGUUCACAAUCCUAGGAGCACCUCUGUCGGUUACGUACAGUAUACCAUAUGCGAUGGCUGCAAGUCGUGUUGAAAAUCUUGGGCUAGGCCAAGGUCUAGCAAUGGGCAUUCUUAAUUUAUCUAUUGUCAUACCACAGAUCAUCGUGUCGCUGGGCAGCGGGCCAUGGGACCAGCUCUUCGGCGGAGGGAACGCGCCAUCCUUCUGGGUGGCUGCCGCAGCCUCCUUUGUGGGCGGGCUGGUAGCCAUCCUGGGGCUCCCGCGGGCCCGGCUCGGGCCGAAGAAGAAAACCACCCAACGAUGA